rnacentral:rRNA from 1 species
CCUACGGGAGGCAGCAGUGAGGAAUAUUGGUCAAUGGACGCAAGUCUGAACCAGCCAUGCCGCGUGCAGGAAGACGGCUCUAUGAGUUGUAAACCUCUUUUGCCGGGGAGCAACGGGCGCCACGUGUGGCGUCACUGAGAGUACCCGGAGAAAAAGCAUCGGCUAACUCCGUGCCAGCAGCCGCGGUAAUACGGAGGAUGCGAGCGUUAUCCGGAUUUAUUGGGUUUAAAGGGUGCGUAGGCGGAUCGUUAAGUCAGUGGUCAAAUUGAGGGGCUCAACCCCUUCCCGCCAUUGAAACUGGCGUUCUUGAGUGGAAGAGAAGUAUGCGGAAUGCGUGGUGUAGCGGUGAAAUGCAUAGAUAUCACGCAGAACCCCGAUUGCGAAGGCAGCAUGUCGGCUUCCGACUGACGCUGAAGCACGAAAGCGUGGGGAUCGAACAGGAUUAGAUACCCUUGUAGUC